CCUACGGGAGGCAGCAGUGAGGAAUAUUGGUCAAUGGUCGGGAGACUGAACCAGCCAAGCCGCGUGAGGGAGGAAGGUACAGAGUAUCGUAAACCUCUUUUGUCAGGGAACAAAGGCGGGGAAGUGUCCCAGGAUGAGUGUACCUGAAGAAAAAGCAUCGGCUAACUCCGUGCCAUCAGACGCGGUAAGACGGAGGAUGGGAGCGUUAUACGGAUGUAUUGGGUUUAAAGGGUGCGCAGGCGGUCUGGUAAGUCAGGGGUAAAAGCCCGGGGCUCAACCCCGGCCCGCCGUUGAAACUGGCAGUCUCGAGUUGGAGAGAAGUAUGCGGAAUGCGCGGUGUAGCGGUGAAAUGCAUAGAUAUCGCGCAGAACUCCGAUUGCGAAGGCAGCAUGCCGGCUCCACACUGACGCUGAGGCACGAAAGCGUGGGUAUCGAACAGGAUUAGAUACCCCAGUAGUC
rnacentral:rRNA from 1 species